rnacentral:rRNA from 1 species
UACGGGGGGGGCAAGCGUUGUUCGGAAUUACUGGGCGUAAAGGGCGCGUAGGCGGUUGGAUAAGUCAGCUGUGAAAACCACGGGCUUAACUCGUGGCCUGCAGUUGAGACUGUCUGGCUUGAGUGUGGGAGAGGAGAGUGGAAUUCCUGGUGUAGCGGUGAAAUGCGCAGAUAUCAGGAGGAACACCGAUGGCGAAGGCAGGUCUCUGGGCCACUACUGACGCUGAGAAGCGAAAGCGUGGGGAGCGAACAGG